rfam:Massilia timonae CCTG 45783 genomic scaffold supercont1.5, whole genome shotgun sequence.
GUUUGACACGGACCUACGGUGGCCGGUCUGGCCCCGACGUUCGGACGUGGCGCGAUGAC